rnacentral:rRNA from 1 species
CCCUUAGAUGUUCUGGGCCGCACGCGUGCUACACUGACCGGCGCAACAAGUUUCUUUCCUUGGCUCGAUAGGCCUGGGUAAUCUUUGAACGCCGGUCGUGAUGGGGAUAGAUCCUUGCAAUUUUUGAUCUUCAACGAGGAAUUCCUAGUAAAUGCGAGUCAUCAUCUCACGUUGAUUACGUCCCUGCCCUUUGUACACACCGCCCGUCGCACCUACCGAUUGAAUGGUCCGGUGAAGCCUCGGGAUUGCGAAUGCUUCGUGCGGACGCGAGAACUUGGCUAAACCUUACCAUUUAGAGGAAGGUGAAGUCGUAACA